rnacentral:rRNA from 1 species
GACGAACGCUGGCGGCGUGCUUAACACAUGCAAGUCGAACGGAAAGGCCCCUUUGGGGGUACUCGAGUGGCGAACGGGUGAAUAACACGUGAGUAACCUGCCCUUGACUUCGGGAUAACUUCAGGAAACUGGGGCUAAUACCGGAUAGGAAUCCUUGCUGCAUGGUGGGGGUUGGAAAGCUUCGGCGGUUUUGGAUGGACUCGCGGCUUAUCAGCUUGUUGGUGGGGUAGUGGCUUACCAAGGCUUUGACGGGUAGCCGGCCUGAGAGGGCGACCGGCCACAUUGGGACUGAGAUACGGCCCAGACUCCUACGGGAGGCAGCAGUGGGGAAUAUUGCACAAUGGGCGGAAGCCUGAUGCAGCAACGCCGCGUGCGGGAUGACGGCCUUCGGGUUGUAAACCGCUUUCAGCAGGGGCGAAGCUUGUGGUGACGGUACCUGCAGAAGAAGCACCGGCUAACUACGUG